AAGUCUUUACGGAGAAAGCUUUAUGCACCAUUGGAUGAGCCUGCACUUGAUUAGUUUGUUGGUGGGGUAAUGGCCUACCAAGACUGUGAUCAAUAGCUGAUUUGAGAGGAUGAUCAGCCACAUUGGGACUGAGACACGGCCCAAACUCCUACGGGAGGCAGCAGUGGGGAAUCUUGCACAAUGGAGGAAACUCUGAUGCAGCGAUGCCGCGU
rnacentral:rRNA from 1 species